rnacentral:rRNA from 1 species
UACGAAGGGGGCUAGCGUUGUUCGGAAUUACUGGGCGUAAAGCGCACGUAGGCGGAUUUGUUAGUCAGGGGUGAAAUCCCGGGGCUCAACCCCGGAACUGCCUUUGAUACUGCAAGUCUUGAGUCCGAGAGAGGUGAGUGGAAUUCCUAGUGUAGAGGUGAAAUUCGUAGAUAUUAGGAAGAACACCAGUGGCGAAGGCGGCUCACUGGCUCGGUACUGACGCUGAGGUGCGAAAGCGUGGGGAGCAAACAGG